UUUUUGCUUUUUUAGUCACCUUGACUGCCAUAUCGUAUUUGGUUUGCUUACAGAUAAAACUCGUUAAAGGACUUUUGCAAAGAUAAGUGCAACUGCCCCAACUAGGCCGGGGCUGUCAUUCAGCUUGCCGCAACAGCUGCCACAUCAUCAGCUCAGACUCCAACUCCAGCUCCAGCUGGUGCUGCGGCGGCCCCACCAAUUCGCCAGCGCCGCCGGCAGCAGCGCUGUGGCUGCAACAAAGCUGCUGCUGCUGCUGCUCCAGUUCCAGUUCCAUGUGACAGCCACCGCAGCUGUCGUCGUUGUUAUGGCAAGUAAAGGCACUGGGCUCCACGUGGACCGCAAGGAGCUGGCGCUGCUGUUGCCAUGCUGCAUUGCAGCCGGAUGUUCGCCAUUUAUGACAUGCACUACCACCGAGGCGGAGUCUGUGCAUAAGUUGAGCAUAAGAUAAGGAUAUAAAAUAAAAGACACCGAGAUGCACUUGGGCUGAGAGUGGGCAGAGGGCGUGGAGAGAGAGGGAGGCAAGAGAUAAUGGCUAGAGUUGGGUGCGUGUCGUGUUUUUUCAAGACUUCUUCAGACUCUGCACGACAUCCUCGUAUUAAGUAAGUAGACUUUGUGAGUUUGUGUUCGAUACAAUAAUCGAAAACUGGUAUAAAACACGAAUUAAAGAAAUCAACUAGGUCUCAGCACGAUGAAACACGACUUAAACACGACUGCAAGACGAAUCAAUACGAUUUAAGCUACUUAACACGACUGAACACGUGUCAAAACCGACCUAAAACUGCUCAAUACGACUUCACAUGAUUAUUCAAGACUCAAAUACGAUUUCAACACGACUGUAAGAACACUCAAUACGAUUUAAUCUACUUAAUUCAACGAAACGCGAGUCAAAACCGACCUAAACCAGCUUAAUGUUGCUCAAACGAUAAGUACUUAUCACGACUUGGUACGAUUUUCCAAUGACUCUACACGACUCUACACAGGCUAACACGACUCUAGUAAUAAUAAUAACACGACUUAAACACGACUUAAACACGACUUAAACACGACUGUAACACGACUUAAACACGACUGUAACACGACCCAUACGCAAGGUAACACGAAUUUAGCAGAUUUGAAACACGACCUUUUGCCCGUGCUUUACUUUGUGUUUGUGACUUAUUAUAAAAAAUAAGAAUGCCCACAUCUCUAGAGAGGAGCUGGUAGCUUGUGGUGGAAAUUCCAUUGGCAAGGGACGUCACAUUAAUUGCCAGCGGGCAUAGAACGAGACUUGCAACGGGCACACAAACACUCAGACAGGCGGAUAAGUACGUUGGCAUUAAAGUAGAUGAAGAUGAAGAUGUAGAUGUACAUAGAUGAAGGCGAAGGCGAAGGAGCGGAAGAAGGAGCAGAAACAGAAGCAGGAGGAGGCGUGGGAGAAGGAGGAGGCGUUGCAGUUGCCGGAAUCAGCGGACGUGGCCUUGGCUAUCAGCAGCUUGCUGGUCCGCGUCGAGCGCUCGGUGAUGACAUUAAUGCCCCCACGCUGCGAAUAAUUCAUGACCCGCUUGCCUUUGUACCAGUAGAUAAACG